AAAGCUCAAAUUUAAAAUCUGGCUGUCUUCGGCAGUCCGAGUUGUAAUCUAGAGAAGUGUUAUCCGCGUUGGACCGUGUACAAGUCUCCUGGAAUGGAGCAUCAUAGAGGGUGAGAAUCCCGUCUUUGACACGGACUACCAGUGCUUUGUGAUGCGCUCUCAAAGAGUCGAGUUGUUUGGGAAUGCAGCUCAAAAUGGGUGGUAAAUUCCAUCUAAAGCUAAAUAUUGGCGAGAGACUGAUAGCGAA
rnacentral:rRNA from 1 species